GGCCUCCGCCUACGCGCCUUUGACAACCUGUGACGAUAAAAACUGUGUUUUUUGUGAAAAUAUCUAGCAAAUAGAUAGCACAAAUAGCAAUAAUGAUGGAGAUAGUGAUCCACCAUUAGAUGAUAGUUAUCAAGAUCCAAAUUAUGAUCCAGAUUCAACGGACGAUUGAGGUAACAAUAAUGGAACAAAAUGACUUUAAACACAUCAGUAUACUACAACAGAAUGCCAAAAGAGCGACCAAAACUGACGACGGUAACAAAACUUGAUUUUUCAGGGGUGUUUUCAUUUAUGUUCGACAUUAAUACUCCAAAUGCUUGUUUUGUUAAGUACGCUGUUAAUGGUGAAUACCAGGAAGUUAAUUUGUUAAAAAAAGGAAGGCCGUCACUGCUAACGCUCGAUUCUUUAACACUUAAAUACAAAGAUCCUGUCAAAAUUUCGAAAAAAAAAAA
rnacentral:lncRNA from 1 species